rnacentral:rRNA from 1 species
UACAGAGGGGGCAAGCGUUGUUCGGAAUUACUGGGCGUAAAGGGCGCGUAGGCGGCCUGCUAAGUCGAACGUGAAAUCCCCGGGCUCAACCCGGGAACUGCGUCCGAUACUGGUGGGCUUGAAUCCGGGAGAGGGAUGUGGAAUUCCAGGUGUAGCGGUGAAAUGCGUAGAUAUCUGGAGGAACACCGGUGGCGAAGGCGGCAUCCUGGACCGGUAUUGACGCUGAGGCGCGAAAGCCAGGGGAGCAAAGCGGG